GAUCAUGGCUCAGGAUGAACGCUAGCUACAGGCUUAACACAUGCAAGUCGAGGGGAAACGAUAUUGGAAGCUUGCUUCCGAUAGGCGUCGACCGGCGCACGGGUGAGUAACGCGUAUCCAACCUGCCCAUCACUUGGGGAUAACCUUGCGAAAGUAAGACUAAUACCCAAUGAUAUCUCUAGAAGACAUCUGGAAGAGAUUAAAGAUUUAUCGGUGAUGGAUGGGGAUGCGU
rnacentral:rRNA from 1 species